GACGAACGCUGGCGGCGUGCUUAACACAUGCAAGUCGAACGGAAAGGCCCUGCUUUUGUGGGGUGCUCGAGUGGCGAACGGGUGAGUAACACGUGAGUAACCUGCCCUUGACUUUGGGAUAACUUCAGGAAACUGGGGCUAAUACCGGAUAGGAGCUCCUGCUGCAUGGUGUGGGUUGGAAAGUUUCGGCGGUUGGGGAUCGACUCGCGGCUUAUCAGCUUGUUGGUGGGGUAGUGGCUUACCAAGGCUUUGACGGGUAGCCGGCCUGAGAGGGUGACCGGCCACAUUGGGACUGAGAUACGGCCCAGACUCCUACGGGAGGCAGCAGUGGGGAAUAUUGCACAAUGGGCGGAAGCCUGAUGCAGCGACGCCGCGUGCGGGAUGACGGCCUUCGGGUUGUAAACCGCUUUCGCCUGUGACGAAGCGUGAGUGACGGUAAUGGGUAAAGAAGCACCGGCUAACUACGUG
rnacentral:rRNA from 1 species